rnacentral:rRNA from 1 species
UACGUAGGAUCCAAGCGUUAUCCGGAAUCAUUGGGUUUAAAGGGUCCGUAGGCGGUCUAGUAAGUCAGUGGUGAAAGCCCAUCGCUCAACGGUGGAACGGCCAUUGAUACUGCUGGACUUGAAUUAUUGGGAAGCAACUAGAAUAUGUAGUGUAGCGGUGAAAUGCUUAGAGAUUACAUGGAAUACCAAUUGCGAAGGCAGGUUGCUACCAAUUGAUUGACGCUGAUGGACGAAAGCGUGGGUAGCGAACAGG